rnacentral:misc_RNA from 1 species
GUUGAAGAACGCAGCGAAAUGCGAUAAGUAAUGUGAAUUGCAGAAUCCAGUGAAUCAUCGAAUCUUUGAACGCACAUUGCGCCCGCCAGCAUUCUGGCGGGCAUGCCUGUUCGAGCGUCAUUUCAACCCUCGACCUCCCUUUGGGGAAGUCGGCGUUGGGGACCGGCAGCACACCGCCGGCCCUGAAAUGGAGUGGCGGCCCGUCCGCGGCGACCUCUGCGUAGUAAACCAACUCGCACCGGAACCCCGACGUGGCCACGCCGUAAAACACCUAACUUCUGAACGUUGACCUCGAAUCAGGUAGGACUACCCGCUGAACUUAAGCAUAUCAAUAAGCGGAGGA